rnacentral:rRNA from 1 species
AAGCACUUAUGACCAGACUUGGACCCGGUGAAUCAUCCAGCGUUCUCGCUGGUGCACUUUGCCGGGCUCAGGCCAGCAUCAGUUUGCCCCGGGGGAUAAAGGCUUUGGGAAUG